GUGCUCGCUUUGGCAGCACAUAUAGUAGAAUUGGAACGAUAGAGAAGAUUAACAUGCCCCUGCGCAAGAAUGACAUGCAAAUUCGUGAAAUGUUCCAUAUUUUA